UACGAAGGGUGCAAGCGUUUAAUCGGAAUUACUGGGCGUAAAGCGUGCGUAGGCGGUUCUUUUAAGUCUGCUGUGAAAUCCCCGGGCUCAACCUGGGAAUGGCAGUGGAUACUGGAGAGCUAGAGUGUGAUAGAGGAUGGUGGAAUUCCCGGUGUAGCGGUGAAAUGCGUAGAGAUCGGGAGGAACAUCAGUGGCGAAGGCGGCCAUCUGGAUCAACACUGACGCUGAGGCACGAAAGCGUGGGGAGCAAACAGGG
rnacentral:rRNA from 1 species